GACGAACGCUGGCGGCGUGCUUAACACAUGCAAGUCGAACGAAGUGGCGAACGGGUGAGUAAUACGUGGGUAACCUGCCCUCCUUUGUGGGAUAAGCCUUGGAAACGGGGUCUAAUACCGAAUAAAGGGGGAUGGGCUCGCGGCCUAUCAGCUUGUUGGUGGGGUGAUGGCCUACCAAGGCGGUGACGGGUAGCCGGCCUGAGAGGGUGACCGGCGACAUGGUGACUGCCAUACGGCCUAGACUCCUACGGGAGGGGGCAGUGCGGGAUAUGGCAGAAUGGGCGAAAGCCUGAUGCAGCGGCGGCGCGAGGGGGAUGAAGGCUUUCGGGUUGUAAACUUCUUUCGCUAGCGAACCGGUAGGUGGAGAAGAAGCGCCGGCUAACUACGUGCCAGCAGCCGCGGUAAUUC
rnacentral:rRNA from 1 species